CCCCUCUCAUUUGUCUAGAUUUGAAGGCCCGACGCAGCUCUCUGUCUCUCUCGAUCCCUCUCCUCCACCCCGCCGCCACCCACCCUAUCCUCCACCCCGCCGGCACCCUCUCCUCCGGCAAGGUCGCUCCGUCUCGAUCCCUCUCCUCCCGCCAGAUCGCCCCGUCCAGGUCCCUCUCCCCCCGCAUAUCGCCCCGUCCCGGUCCAUCUCCGCCCCGUACUGUCCCUCUCCCGCAAGGUCGCAAGGACACUCCGACGUCUUGGUUACCUGUCCCUCUCGCCGCCGCAGGACGCCUCACUCCAGCCACCCGAUCUGGGCAGCCCACGGUCGGUCAACUCCACCCCCGGAGGACCAAGGAGCAAGAAGCACCGGGGCUCUUGGUCUGGGAGCAAGCAGGGAAAUAUUGGGUGAAGUGUGAUGCUGAACGGACAGAACGAAGAAAGGAAGAUCCUUGAGCAAUGAAAAUCUUUGUUGGGUGGUGCUAAUAAUGCAAAGAUUCAGUUUUUAUGUAACCUUGGAUAGACUCUGAUCAUUUGAUGUUGUUGUGAACCUUUUUCGUAUUGCAAAGAUUAACUUUUUACAAAGUCUCAUAUUGAUGUUUUA